rnacentral:rRNA from 1 species
UACGUAGGUGGCAAGCGUUGUCCGGAUUUAUUGGGCGUAAAGAGCGCGUAGGCGGCUUGUCAAGUCCGGGGUGAAAUCUCCCGGCCCAACUGGGAGGGGUCCUCGGAUACUGGCAGGCUCAGAGGGGAGCAGAGGAGAGUGGAAUUCCCGGUGUAGUGGUGGAAUGCGUAGAUAUCGGGAGGAACACCAGUGGCGAAGGCGGCUCUCUGGGCUCUACCUGACGCUGAGGCGCGAAAGCGUGGGGAGCGAACCGG